rfam:Myotis davidii contig44739, whole genome shotgun sequence.
GGCCUCCCUCUGCAGGGCGAUCGAUCAUGGAACCCCCUCAUCGAUUGCCCUGCAGGGGGUGGCC